UGGUAGUCCACGCCGUAAACGAUGAGUGCUAAGUGUUAGAGGGUUUCCGCCCUUUAGUGCUGCAGCAAACGCAUUAAGCACUCCGCCUGGGGAGUACGGCCGCAAGGCUGAAACUCAAAGGAAUUGACGGGGGCCCGCACAAGCGGUGGAGCAUGUGGUUUAAUUCGAAGCAACGCGAAGAACCUUACCAGGUCUUGACAUCUCCUGACAACCCUAGAGAUAGGGCGUUCCCCUUCGGGGGACAGGAUGACAGGUGGUGCAUGGUUGUCGUCAGCUCGUGUCGUGAGAUGUUGGGUUAAGUCCCGCAACGAGCGCAACCCUUGAUCUUAGUUGCCAGCAUUCAGUUGGGCACUCUAAGGUGACUGCCGGUGACAAACCGGAGGAAGGUGGGGAUGACGUCA
rnacentral:rRNA from 1 species